rnacentral:rRNA from 1 species
UACGGAGGGUGCAAGCAUUGAUCGGAAUUACUGGGCGUAAAGGGCGCGUAGGCGGCCGAACCAGUCAGAUGUGAAAUUCCGGGGCUCAACCCCGGAGCAGCAUUUGAAACUAUUCGGCUAGAGUUCAGUUAGGGAAAAUGGAAUUCCACGUGUAGCGGUGAAAUGCGUAGAUAUGUGGAAGAACACCGGUGGUGAAGACGAUUUUCUGGGCUGAAACAGACGCUGAGGCGCGAAAGCUAGGGGAGCAAACAGG